rnacentral:rRNA from 1 species
UACGGGGGGAGCAAGCGUUGUUCGGAUUUACUGGGCGUAAAGGGCGCGUAGGCGGCCAGCACAAGUCGGUUGUGAAAUCUCGAAGCUCAACUUCGAAACUGCGUCUGAAACUGCUAGUCUAGAAUGUCGGAGGGGAUAGGGGAAUUUCACGUGUAGGGGUAAAAUCCGUAGAGAUGUGAAGGAACACCGGAGGCGAAGGCGCCUAUCUGGACGACUAUUGACGCUGAGGCUCGAAAGCGUGGGGAGCAAACAGG